AAUUAUACAAUUAUCAGUUAUUUUUGACUUCUGCUAAGGUUUGUCAAAAAAGACAACAAAUAUCAAAUUCAAAUCAGACUCAGAUUCAGGUUCAGGGUGUCCCAUAUCAAACCAACUUAAAGAGGAAUGUUGGGAGAAUCAAAUAGGCUAUAUUAAUUGAUAGUGAAUAAUCUACUUCAAAAAAAUUCAAAGUUAAAGCUCUAUUUAGAUGUUUAUCGCGCCUCAAAAUAAACAUUAGUCUUAAUCUAUAUAAAUGAGAUAAGAAACGUCGAAUUCAUUAGAAAAAAUAUACCCUAUUUCUCUAAGUCUUUAGCUCCGUCCUCAUCCUCCUCGAAAAUUACAUCAGAGUGUCUGUUUUUCCAGUUGCUAUGAGGAAAUGCGAAUGAAGGGGGAUCUUGUGGCAUCUUGUCUUGAUACUUAUUAAAGCUGAUAUUUCUGUCAGUAUUGUAAAUUGUUUGAAGAUAAGAAAAUAAAGAUGUUUGGAACAAAGUACCUAUAUUUGGAGCAACAAUUCUGCCAAAUGGUUCGAGAAGCCUGACAUCAUUUUCAGUAAAUUUGGAUUUUUCUUUGAAAACGCCUAAUCUAUUAAUAAGUACAAUAAGAGAAAUUGCCUGGGUGUUGUUACUCUGGGAAAACUGAUUGCUUGGAGAUAAAGAUGAAGAUCUUGUAUUUGUAUGAGUUUGAGCAACUAAGCUGCUUCUCCCAACUCUAUCCGAUUUUGGAGAGCCAGGGGCAACGAUACUGGAGGAAAUGAUUGAAGAGUUCAGAAUUGAAUUGUUUCUGGGUGAAACUGAUACUAAAUCAUCAUAAUCAUGUCCAAUUUCAAAUGAUGAGAAGGCUGAUGAAAGAGAAGAAAUGGAUGAGAUCCUUUGGCUGGGGGUCGGGAUACAUGACCAAUUGUCCCUUUCUGCAUAAAUUGGGAAUACUAAAGCGUUAUAGAUUGGUUUUUCACCUCCAUACACUUUUUGUAGGAGGCGAAUAAAUUGAUCAUCAUUGCUCGUUGAUACAGAGCUGCUUCCUAUCACAAUUCUAAUUGAGCUGCAUGAACAUUCAACGAGUCUAUUUUCGAAACGUGGCUUGUUAUCAUCUCCAGUAUUCUGUAUAAUAAGAGAGUGCCUAGUCUCGAUAAUUCUAUGAAUUAUAUCACCAAUCUCAUAAUUAAAUAGAAGUUCAUUCCCAGUAUCAGAUAUAAGAGAUAUGAUUUGUUGCCUCUCAGGAAUCCCAAUUAAAGCAAUACAAUGCUCAGAUUCGAUGAUUUCUUGAGCGUGGAUACAGAGAGUGAAUAAGUUAGACUGAAGUCCC
rnacentral:antisense_RNA from 1 species